UACGGGGGGGAGCAAGCGUUGUUCGGAUUUACUGGGCGUAAAGGGCGCGUAGGCGGUCAGCACAAGUCAGUUGUGAAAUCUCCGGGCUUAACUCGGAAAGGUCAACUGAUACUGUGCGACUAGAGUGCGGAAGGGGGCAACUGGAAUUCUCGGUGUAGCGGUGAAAUGCGUAGAUAUCGAGAGGAACACCUGCGGCGAAGGCGGGUUGCUGGGCCGACACUGACGCUGAUGCGCGAAAGCCAGGGGAGCAAACAGG
rnacentral:rRNA from 1 species